rnacentral:piRNA from 1 species
CUAGUUUGGGCCUUAAGCU